GCCACGAAACAGGGGUGCCGUUACCCGCGGCUGAGAGUCACCCUUAGAGCGGCCUGCCUGCUCUUACACCCGAUCAAGAUAAUGCUUGCGUGGGGAGUUUUGCCAAGGAUUCU
rnacentral:ncRNA from 1 species